GAUGAACGCUGGUGGCGUGCCUAAUGCAUGCAAGUCGAGCGAAUGGAUUAAGAGCUUGCUCUUAUGAAGUUAGCGGCGGACGGGUGAGUAACACGUGGGUAACCUGCCCAUAAGACUGGGAUAACUCCGGGAAACCGGGGCUAAUACCGGAUAACAUUUUGAACCGCAUGGUUCGAAAUUGAAAGGCGGCUUCGGCUGUCACUUAUGGAUGGACCCGCGUCGCAUUAGCUAGUUGGUGAGGUAACGGCUCACCAAGGCAACGAUGCGUAGCCGACCUGGGAGGGUGAUCGGCCACGCUGGGACUGAGACACGGCCCAGACUCCUACGGGAGGCAGCAGUAGGGAAUCUUCCGCAAUGGACGAAAGUCUGACGGAGCAACGCCGCGUGAGUGAUGAAGGCUUUCGGGUCGUAAAACUCUGUUGUUAGGGAAGAACAAGUGCUAGUUGAAUAAGCUGGCACCUUGACGGUACCUAACCAGAAAGCCACGGCUAACUACGUGCCAGCCGCCGCAGUAA
rnacentral:rRNA from 1 species